CGCGUAGGCGGUUUUGUCGGUCAGAUGUGAAAGCCCAGGGCUCAACCCUGGACGUGCAUUUGAAACAGCAAGACUUGAGUACGGGAGAGGAAAGCGGAAUUCCUGGUGUAGAGGUGAAAUUCGUAGAUAUCAGGAGGAACACCGAUGGCGAAGGCAGCUUUCUGGACCGAUACUGACGCUGAGGCGCGAAGGCGUGGGUAGCGAACA
rnacentral:rRNA from 1 species